rnacentral:rRNA from 1 species
UACGAAGGGGGCUAGCGUUGUUCGGAAUUACUGGGCGUAAAGCGCACGUAGGCGGAUAUUUAAGUGAGGGGUGAAAUCCCAGGGCUCAACCCUGGAACUGCCUCUCAUACUGGGUAUCUCGAGUUCGAGAGAGGUGAGUGGAAUUGCGAGUGUAGAGGUGAAAUUCGUAGAUAUUCGCAGGAACACCAGUGGCGAAGGCGGCUCACUGGCUCGAUACUGACGCUGGAGGUGCGAAAGCGUGGGUAGCAAACAGG